AAUUUUGGAAAAUGGGCACAAGCCUGAUCCAGCAAUGCCGCGUGCAGGAUGAAGGAAUUAGAGUUGUACACUGCUUUUGUAAGAAACAUAAAGCCCUGGACUAAUACCCUGGGAUCAUGACGAUACCGUAAGAAUAAGCACCGGCUCACUACGAGCCAGCAGCCGCGGUAAUACGUAUGGUGCGAGCGUUAAUCGGAAUUACUGGGCGUAAAGCGUGCGCAGGCGGUUUUGUAAGACAGAGGUGAAAUCCCCGGGCUCAACCUGGGAACUGCCUUUGUGACUGCAAGGCUAGAGUACGGCAGAGGGGGAUGGAAUUCCGCGUGUAGCAGUGAAAUGCGUAGAUAUGCGGAGGAACACCGAUGGCGAAGGCAAUCCCCUGGGCCUGUACUGACGCUCAUGCACGAAAGCGUGGGGAGCAAACAGG
rnacentral:rRNA from 1 species